GUAGGUGGGCAAGCGUUGUCCGGAAUUAUUGGGCGUAAAGCGCGCGCAGGGCGGUUCUUUAAGUCUGAUGUGAAAGCCCACGGCUCAACCGUGGAGGGUCAUUGGAAACUGGAGAACUUGAGUACAGAAGAGGAAAGCGGAAUUCCACGUGUAGCGGUGAAAUGCGUAGAGAUGUGGAGGAACACCAGGGGCGAAGGCGGCUUUCUGGUCUGUAACUGACGCUGAGGCGCGAAAGCGUGGGGAGCAAACAGGAUUAGAUACCCUGGUAGUCCACGCCGUAAACGAUGAGUGCUAAGUGUUAGGGGGUUUCCGCCCCUUAGUGCUGCAGUUAACGCAUUAAGCACUCCGCCUGGGGAGUACGGCCGCAAGGCUG
rnacentral:rRNA from 1 species